rnacentral:rRNA from 1 species
CCUACGGGUGGCAGCAGUGAGGAAUAUUGGUCAAUGGACGCAAGUCUGAACCAGCCAAGUAGCGUGCAGGAUGACGGCCCUCCGGGUUGUAAACUGCUUUUAGUUGGGAAUAAAAGGGGGCUCGUGAGCCCAGUAGUGUAUGUACCAUCAGAAAAAGGACCGGCUCAUUACGUGCCAGCAGCCGCGGUAAUACGGAAGGUCCGGGCGUUAUCCGGAUUUAUUGGGUUGAAAGGGAGCGUAGGACGGUCUUUAAGCGUGCCGUGAAAUUUUGUGGCUCAACCAUGAGAGUGCGGAGCGAACUGGGUGCCUUGAGUGCGCGGAAGGCAGGCGGAAUUCGUGGUGUAGCGGUGAAAUGCUUAGAUAUCACGAAGAACCCCGAUUGCGAAGGCAGCCUGCCGCAGCGUUACUGACGCUGAAGCUCGAAAGCGCGGGUAUCGAACAGGAUUAGAUACCCCAGUAGUC